GAUGAACGCUGGCGGCGUGCCUAAUACAUGUAAGUCGAGCGAACAGGCGAGGAGCUUGCUCCUCUGACGUUAGCGGCGGACGGGUGAGUAACACGUGGAUAACCUACCUAUAAGACUGGGAUAACUUCGGGAAACCGGAGCUAAUACCGGAUAAUAUAUUGAACCGCAUGGUUCAAUAGUGAAAGACGGUUUUGCUGUCACUUAUAGAUGGAUCCGCGCCGCAUUAGCUAGUUGGUAAGGUAACGGCUUACCAAGGCAACGAUGCGUAGCCGACCUGAGAGGGUGAUCGGCCACACUGGAACUGAGACACGGUCCAGACUCCUACGGGAGGCAGCAGUAGGGAAUCUUCCGCAAUGGGCGAAAGCCUGACGGAGCAACGCCGCGUGAGUGAUGAAGGUCUUCGGAUCGUAAAACUCUGUUAUUAGGGAAGAACAAAUGUGUAAGUAACUAUGCACGUCUUGACGGUACCUAAUCAGAAAGCCACGGCUAACUACGUG
rnacentral:rRNA from 1 species